AUUUUAGUGUAUAAUACCCUACUCUUGCACCCAAUCUCAUUUGAUCUCAGAAGUUAAGUGGAGCCAGGCCUGGUUAGCCCUUGGAUGAGAAAAUU
rnacentral:rRNA from 1 species